rnacentral:rRNA from 1 species
AGAGUUUGAUCCUGGCUCAGGACGAACGCUGGCGGCGUGCCUAAUACAUGCAAGUCGAACGGUCUUUUCUAUGGAAGCUUGCUUCCACUGAGAAGAUAGUGGCGAACGGGUGAGUAACACGUGGGUAACCUGCCCAUAAGAGGGGGAUAACAUCCGGAAACGGGUGCUAAUACCGCAUAGUUUUCUUGAUCGCAUGAUCGGGAAAGGAAAGACGGCCUUUGUGCUGUCGCUUAUGGAUGGACCCGCGGCGUAUUAGUUAGUUGGUGAGGUAACGGCUCACCAAGACGAUGAUACGUAGCCGACCUGAGAGGGUGAUCGGCCACAUUGGGACUGAGACACGGCCCAAACUCCUACGGGAGGCAGCAGUAGGGAAUCUUCCGCAAUGGACGAAAGUCUGACGGAGCAACGCCGCGUGAGUGAAGAAGGUUUUCGGAUCGUAAAACUCUGUUGUCAGAGAAGAACAAGUUGGAGAGUAACUGCUCCAGCCUUGACGGUAUCUGACCAGAAAGCCACGGCUAACUACGUGCCAGCAGCCGCGGUAAUACGUAGGUGGCAAGCGUUGUCCGGAUUUAUUGGGCGUAAAGCGAGCGCAGGCGGUUCCUUAAGUCUGAUGUGAAAGCCCACGGCUCAACCGUGGAAGGUCAUUGGAAACUGGGGAACUUGAGUGCAGAAGAGGAGAGUGGAAUUCCAUGUGUAGCGGUGAAAUGCGUAGAUAUAUGGAGGAACACCAGUGGCGAAGGCGACUCUCUGGUCUGUAACUGA